rnacentral:misc_RNA from 1 species
GAGGAUCAUUGUGGAUGCCUCAACAGACCGAGAGAGACCCGCGAACGAGUUUCACCGCCGGGGACGGGCGAAGCUGCCCAGCAGCCCGCCCCCCCCAAAUGCCGGGACCGAGGCACGCCGCGGCGGUCUCGUCCCGGCGCAACAACAACAAACCCCGGCGCGGAACGCGCCAAGGAAGCAACAACUGCAGAGCGCGCCCCGUCGGCCCGGCAACGGUGCCCGCACGGGCGACGCCGCAACACUCGAGUCCAAAACGACUCUCGGCAACGGAUAUCUCGGCUCUUGCAUCGAUGAAGAACGUAGCGAAAUGCGAUACUUGGUGUGAAUUGCAGAAUCCCGUGAACCAUCGAGUCUUUGAACGCAAGUUGCGCCCGAAGCCAUUAGGCCAAGGGCACGCCUGCCUGGGUGUCACCGAUCGCUGCCCCAGCCCCCGUGCCUCCUUACGGACACGGAGCGGGGCGAAUGCUGGCCUCCCGUGAGCACCGCCUCGCGGCUGGCUGAAAACCGGGUUCGUGGUGGAUCAAGCGCCAUGACAUACGGUGGCUGAGCGUGUUCUCGAGGCCAGUCGUGCGCGCGACCCCCACCAGUUCCUUACCCAGCGACCCGCGAGCGACGCCGAUCGCCCACGACGCGACCUCAGGUCAGGC